GGAUUAGAUACCCUGGUAGUCCACGCCGUAAACGAUGGAUACUAGCUGUUUGGAACUUGUUCUGAGUGGCUAAGCGAAAGUGAUAAGUAUCCCACCUGGGGAGUACGUUCGCAAGAAUGAAACUCAAAGGAAUUGACGGGGGCCCGCACAAGCGGUGGAGCAUGUGGUUUAAUUCGAUGAUACGCGAGGAACCUUACCAGGGCUUAAAUGUAGGUUGCAUGAUUUAGAGAUAGAUCUUUCUUCGGACUACCUACAAGGUGCUGCAUGGUUGUCGUCAGCUCGUGCCG
rnacentral:rRNA from 1 species